UUCCGGUUGAUCCUGCCGGACCUGACUGCUAUCGGAUUGAUACUAAGCCAUGCGAGUCAUUGUAGCAAUACAAGGCAGACGGCUCAGUAACGCGUAGUCAAUCUACCCUAUGGACGGGAGUAACCUCGGGAAACUGAGAAUAAUGCCCGAUAGAACAUUAUGCCUGGAAUGGUUUAUGUUUCAAAUGAUUUAUCGCCAUAGGAUGGGACUGCGGCCUAUCAGCUUGUUGGUGAGGUAAUGGCCCACCAAGACUAUUACAGGUACGGGCUCUGAGAGGAGUAGCCCGGAGAUGGGUACUGAGACACGGACCCAGGCCCUAUGGGGCGCAGCAGGCGAGAAAACUUUGCAAUGUGCGAAAGCACGACAAGGUUAAUCCGAGUGGUUUCUGCUAAAGAAACCUUUUGUCAGUCCUAGAAACACUAACGAAUAAGGGGUGGGCAAGUUCUGGUGUCAGCCGCCGCGGUAAAACCAGCACCUCAAGUGGUCAGGAUGAUUAUUGGGCCUAAAGCAUCCGUAGCUCGUUUUGUAAGUUUUCGGUUAAAUCCAUGCGCUUAACGUAUGGGCUGCCGGGAAUACUGCAUAACUAGGAAGUGGGAGAGGUAGACGGUACUCGGGAGGAAGGGGUAAAAUCCUUUGAUCUCUUGAUGACCACCUGUGGCGAAGGCGGUCUACCAGAACACGUUCGACGGUGAGGGAUGAAAGCUGGGGGAGCAAACCGGAUUAGAUACCCGGGUAGUCCCAGCUGUAAACUAUGCAAACUCAGUGAUGCAUUGGCUUAUGGCCAAUGCAGUGCUGCAGGGAAGCCGUUAAGUUUGCCGCCUGGGAGGUACGUACGCAAGUAUGAAACUUAAAGGAAUUGGCGGGGGAGCACCACAA
rnacentral:rRNA from 2 species